CUGGAAACGGGGUCUAAUACCGGAUACGACACAGGAAGGCAUCUUCUCUGUGUGGAAAGCUCCGGCGGUGCAGGAUGAGCCCGCGGCCUAUCAGCUUGUUGGUGGGGUGAUGGCCUACCAAGGCGACGACGGGUAGCCGGCCUGAGAGGGCGACCGGCCACACUGGGACUGAGACACGGCCCAGACUCCUACGGGAGGCAGCAGUGGGGAAUAUUGCACAAUGGGCGAAAGCCUGAUGCAGCGACGCCGCGUGAGGGAUGACGGCCUUCGGGUUGUAAACCUCUUUCAGCAGGGAAGAAGCGCAAGUGACGGUACCUGCAGAAGAAGCACCGGCUAACUACGUGCCAGCAGCCGCGGUAAUACGUAGGGUGCGAGCGUUGUCCGGAAUUAUUGGGCGUAAAGAGCUCGUAGGCGGCUUGUCACGUCGGAUGUGAAAGCCCGGGGCUUAACCCCGGGUCUGCAUUCGAUACGGGCAGGCUAGAGUUCGGUAGGGGAGAUCGGAAU
rnacentral:rRNA from 1 species